rnacentral:lncRNA from 1 species
CGGGAACUAAUUGGGUACCUGAGAUUUUUUACAGCUGGACCUAGCUUCACAAUCUGUUUUCUCCAGCUGUGCAUAUGUUUAGCCAGGUGGCUUCUAGAAGUCAGUUUCAUCUAUAAAAGGUCUCCACCGACAUCCUUUUGAAACUUACUGCUCUUCUGUUUUGUUUGAAGCUCAGAGGGAGAUGGGCAAUUGACAGGGAUACAAUCCCAGGUGGAAUUGCUUGAGGAAGUUACAAAUAAGCUUGUUUCAUACUAACAUAAUGCAA